AACGAACGCUGGCGGCAUGCCUAACACAUGCAAGUCGAACGCGUGUAGCAAUACACGAGUGGCGGACGGGUGAGUAACGCGUGGGAACCUGCCCAAUGGUAGGGAAUAACUGCGGGAAACUGCAGCUAAUACCCUAUGCUCCCUCCGGGGAAAAGGUUUAUCGCCAUUGGAGGGGCCCGCGUCGGAUUAGCUAGUUGGCGUGGUAAUGGCACACCAAGGCUACGAUCCGUUACUGGUCUGAGAGGAUGUUCAGCCACAGUUGGACUGAGAUACGGCCCAGCCUCCUACGGGAGGCAGCAGUGGUGAAUAUUGUACCAUGGGGGAAACCCUGAUCCAGCAAUGCCGCGUGAGUGAAGAAGGCCUUAGGGUUGUAAAGCUCUUGCGGCGUGGACGAUGGUGACGGUACCCGCAGAAGAAGCCCCGGCUAACUUCGUGCCAGCCGCCGCAGUAAUAC
rnacentral:rRNA from 1 species